rnacentral:rRNA from 1 species
UACGUAGGGGGCAAGCGUUGUCCGGAAUCAUUGGGCGUAAAGAGCGCGUAGGCGGUCCGGUAAGUCCGCUCUGAAAGUCCGGGGCUCAACCCCGGGAGGCGGGCGGAUACUGUCGGGCUAGAGUCCGGAAGAGGCGAGUGGAAUUCCUGGUGUAGUGGUGAAAUGCGUAGAGAUCGGCAGGAACACCCAGGGGGAAACCAGUCGACUGGGCAUCUACUGACGCUGAGGUGCGAGAGCGUGGGGAGCGAACCGG